rnacentral:tRNA from 1 species
GAGUAAGAAGCGAUAUAUCGCAGUCAGUUUCGACCUGCCCUUAGGUAACUUUACCCUUACUCU